GUCGAGGGAGGAGCUUUCGGGCUUCGACCGGCGUACGGGUGCGUAACGCGUAUACAAUCUGCCUUUCACAUAGGGAUAGCCCGAAGAAAUUUGGAUUAAUACCUAAUGGUAUAUAGGGGUGGCAUCACCUUUAUAUUAAAGCUGAGGCGGUGAAAGAUGAGUAUGCGUUCUAUUAGCUAGUUGGAGAGGUAACGGCUCCCCAAGGCGACGAUAGAUAGGGGUUCUGAGAGGGAUAUCCCCCACACUGGUACUGAGAUACGGACCAGACUCCUACGGGAGGCAGCAGUGAGGAAUAUUGGACAAUGGUCGGAAGACUGAUCCAGCCAUGCCGCGUGCAGGAAGACGGCCUUAUGGGUUGUAAACUGCUUUUGCAGGGGAAGAAUAAGGACUACGCGUAGUUUGAUGACGGUACUCUGCGAAUAAGCAUCGGCUAACUCCGUGCCAGCAGCCGCGGUAAUACGGAGGAUGCGAGCGUUAUCCGGAAUCAUUGGGUUUAAAGGGUCCGUAGGCGGGCUAAUAAGUCAGAGGUGAAAGCGCUCAGCUCAACUGAGCAACUGCCUUUGAAACUGUUAGUCUUGAAUGGUUGUGAAGUAGUUGGAAUGUGUAGUGUAGCGGUGAAAUGCUUAGAUAUUACACAGAACACCGAUAGCGAAGGCAUAUUACUAACAAUUAAUUGACGCUGAUGGACGAAAGCGUGGGGAGCGAACAGGAUUAGAUACCCUGGUAGUCCACGCUGUAAACGAUGGAUACUAGCUGUUUGGAUGAAAGUUUGAGUGGC
rnacentral:rRNA from 1 species